rnacentral:rRNA from 1 species
UACGGGGGGGGCAAGCGUUGUUCGGAAUUACUGGGCGUAAAGGGCUCGUAGGCGGCCAACUCAGUCGGACGUGAAAUCCCUCGGCUUAACCGGGGAACGGCGUCCGAUACUGGAUGGCUUGAAUCCGAGAGAGGGAUGCGGAAUUCCUGGUGUAGCGGUGAAAUGCGUAGAUAUCAGGAGGAACACCGGUGGCGCAAGCGGCUUCCUGGCCUAAAACUGACGCUGAGAUACGAAAGUGUGGGGAGCGAACGGG